rnacentral:rRNA from 1 species
UGCCACAGCCAUACCACCCUGCAGCCCAAGACUGGUUGCCCACUGAAGCUAAGCAGGGUUGAGCCUGGUCAGUACCUGGAUGGGAGACCUCCUGGGAAAACUAGGUUGCUGUUGGAA